GAAAACGCAAAUAGACCAAACGUAACCAGCUUGACCAACAUAACGGUUUAAAACUUCUACUGAUCAUUUUUCAGGUUAUGUUUAGCAUGAUUGUAAGAAGGAGAUUAGGUUAUGUUUUAUCAACAAAGAACAAACUGAACAGUCAGGUUAAGAUGUAACAAAGUACAGUAGAUACAAAAUUAUUCAUAACUUGGUAGGUUUAUUCUUAUAAAUAAGCCCUUCUUUAGCAGAAGACUUAUCAAACACAAAGACAUAAUAUUGAUGAAUUCGUUUAAAACAGAAAGUUGAAACGAUUAAUAGUAUGAUUAGGCUAUUCAUCACUGUACCAGAGAAUAACAGGCUGAUUGAGCUAUGGAUGAAACUUUCUGCUGGGUCUAUCUUGCUAGUUUAUUGCUGGUGAUCACCGUAUCAAUUAUCAGGCACGAAAAUAUGUCACAAAGACCGCAGGGACAGUUCAUCGUGUGUGUUGUUCCUCAUUCUGCAAAGACAGUAGUGAACAUGUUAUCCUAUAGUUUGACACCGUACACAUCGUUUUACCAUUACCAUAGUUUAUCCCACUUCCAUUGUAUAAUUUUGUACAUUACAAAACAUGUGUUCUUUCAUGAAUAAUAAUGUAUUUAUGUAGAUUAACAAUUUAUUGUUACUUUCGCAAUUUUUCAUGUUUUGAAAAAAAAUUAAAAAGUAUUAUAUACGGUACUUCAUUGGAUAAUUAUUUUAUAUUAUGUCAUUCUAUCAAUAUUUUGCAGUUGCAGAAAUUUCACAACCAUUUAUUUUAAUUUAUUUGAAAUAAGUAGGUAGUUGUGAUAAUUUCUAGUAUUUUUAUUUUAUAUGAAUAUCAUCUACCACAAUAUCACCUCCACUACUACACACAAAAUUUCAUCUGUCUCUGUCUUCUUGCGUUUUGAGAUGCAAAUAAUUUGAUCAGUCUGGUGGCACGUAGCCAGGAUUUGAUUUCGGGUGGGGCGAAUGAGAUUUGAGAUUUGACUGAAUGAGGAGAAACUGAAUGGGGAGAAUGAGAGCGUGGAGAUUCAACAAAAAAAUCAACUUACACCUAAAAUUAGCAUUUUCUGCGUAUUCUAAACUUUUUGGAGAACAGAUAAACAGCAAAUUUUCGAAUUUGGUUGAGAAGUUCAGCUGAGGUGUAGAAAUAUUGUAUUAAAAGGGUUUUGAACUAAUACCAAUGAUACGACCCAAAAAAGGCGGGUUUCAGCGUUUUUCAUGAGUUAUCAAGCAUUUUUCUGCGUUUCCUCAGCAUUCUGCAUUUUCCAUUUGGCUUGCACUUCCUUCGAUCCAAGCCAAGCCUUCCUUCGAUUCAUUGUUUGAUAGCAUUGAUAGAGUGGAGUAGAUAAUGGAAAAGAAUCCAAUAAUCGUGUGUGAUUAGGUUGAGUUACAAGUUUCUGGAAGGACUGGAACUCCCUGCCACUCAGAUACUUACUUAUUUCACAGAUAAUAUGAUCUUAUUCUAAAUGAAAGAUCUGAUUUGAAAUAUUUUCAAAUAAUUUUUAUUGAAAAGUAGUAUAGAUUUAUUUCUAUGAAGCAUUAAAUUGCUCAUUUUAUAUUGGAAUUGUCAUAUUGUACGUAUUUUUUGUCGCUUUUCUGCUUUUUCUUUGUUUUCUGUCCCCAGGAAUGAAACUGGCAAAGGCAGAUAUAGACACUGCUAAACAUGCAGUGUGUUUUCUACACCUACACCUUAUACGGGAAUAGUUCUGGCAUCUUGAAUUAUAAUUAAUCUAGUAGUACAAUCAAUUUAAAAAAUCACUUAUGUGGUAAGAUAUAUCAUCUCCUAUAUAGAUUUACUUGAAGAACUAUCUGAAUGAAUAUCGUAAUUUUAUCCAUAGGUUUUAUUACAUGAUCUAAAACACGAGAAAAGUAUGCUAUUCAAGUGGGAAAAUUGAAGUAAAUUCAUUUCAAUAUCGAAAUAACUGAUUUUAUAAAACAAUGCCACUUCUCUAUAAAUGAGCAGCACUUUUAUUAUUUUCUCCUUAGAAUGUAC